GCAAGUCGAGCGGUAACAGAUCUAGCUUGCUAGAUGCUGAAGCGCUGCGGACGGGUGAGUAACGCGUAGGAAUCUACCCAGUAGAGGGGGAUAGCCCGGGGAAACCCGGAUUAAUACCGCAUACACUCUACGGAGGAAAGGGGGCUUCGGCUUUCGCUAUUGGAUGAGCCUGCGUGGGAUUAGCUAGUUGGUGAGGUAAAGGCUCACCAAGGCGACGAUCUCUAGCUGGUCUGAGAGGAGGAUC
rnacentral:rRNA from 1 species